UCAGUGUGGACACCCUCGGGAGGUCAGGUCAUUCUUCUCAGGGCUCAAUGCAGGUGCCAUAGAGGAGCAUAGGGCUCUACCCCAUGACAUACAAUCCCUUUCUAUGAUGUUGGAAAGAAAGCCAGGCCAUCAGUCUGUGUCUGCAUAUUCCUACAGCUUCUCGGAGUCCUGUGGAUGAUGCCUGAGGAGACAAGCCAUGCAGGAAACAUCU